rnacentral:snoRNA from 1 species
UGGAUCAAUGAUGACCACUGGUGGCGUAUAAGUCAUGGACGAUGACUAUAGCUCUGGAAGUCUGAGAUCUAC